AUCCAGCUGACGAGUCCCAAAUAGGACGAAACGGGCGUUCUGGAU
rfam:Schistosoma mansoni, Puerto Rico, WGS project CABG01000000 data, contig: 0195